AAUAACUACACCCAAUUUAUUUAUUUUUGCACCAGCGACCUUGUUUACGAAGGAAAGAAAGAGAGAAUAGGUGAAGCAAAACCCCAACUUAAACUCAUAGCGGCAGCCGGAUAUCAAAAAAUCAUCUGUUAGUCAGGAAAUCAUGAUUGAAGCAGAAGGAUCCGGGAACGCAGAUCUUGGUUGUUGGUGGUAGCAAACCCGGUGAUGGAGGAGAAGCGGAAAGCUUUGGAGAGUAUAGAGUUCGAACAGAAACAAAGACUACAUUAGCUGUGCUGUCGCGUGAAAUAGUCAAGGUGACCAUGGUCGAUAAUAUGCGUCGAAGGCGUAUAGAUCCUUGUACAUGCUCAAAAAGUGGGAAUGACUCAGCAACAGGAAAACAAGCAUGCAGCUGGCAUCCCGGAGGUAUUGAGCACUGGCAAGAAGAUCAGAGACGCAGAACAAACGCAGAACUUGCCAGGCGUUUGGAAAUACGGCGAGAGACAAAGAGAAGAGAAAAAGAAAGCAUCAGAUCCAAGAAGAUUAGGUGCUGCUCCACCAGCCUCUUGGGAGAAGCUCUUUGAUGUUGGCGUGUUGGUCGAAUGGAUAUGAGACGGAUGUCAGGUUGCUGCUUCAGAUAAAUACUUAUGUAAAUCUCUCUAGAAAAGACCCCUUUCUACUAUGCUUGUGGGACAAAAUCUGAAAAUCCAUCCAAGUGUGUACCUACAUGCCCAUUGUCUUUCAUUACUACUAUUACUUUCCCGUCCAACACUCUCUCCUCUAUGCUAAUGCCAUAUUUGCCACCUGAUUAAAGUCUCUUGGCACAAAACUAUGUUUCCAAUUAGUAAAACUAAACAAUAAAUGUAAAAAGUCUUCAAUUAUACUACUUGUUAUCAGUGAUA